UUAUUUAUUAUUCCCCUAUUGUACAACAGCUCUCUCAUUCUCAGUUUCAUAUCCGUAGUCCUUUCGUUCUCCUCUCUACCUCGUUUUGCUCUCGUCGUUCUCCGAUUGCGAGACCUAGAUCGGCUCUUGAUCGCUCCUUAUCUCGAUGUUGAACGUGUGCGUUUAGAGUUUCAGAUUCCUCUCCUUCCUCGACGGCGCUGCAUCUUCCGAUGCCGCUUCUCCUUAGGUUUCUGCAAAUGCCUGAUCUGGACAUUCGAACUCGUACGCAUGAGAGCAGGGAGUGUUAUUGGUUUUGUCUACAUGUGUGAUAAGGAUUCUAUCCCACCUUGGAAAAGCUGGCCAUAAGGAGCCAAAGACAAGGCCCAAAAGUACUGAAAAUAAAUACAAGAAUCUUACAGAUAAGAUGGAGAUCUACUGUAAUGAGAAGCUCAAGGCCUUAUUUGAUGGUAAAAGGAUAAAGUUGGAUUCUUGAAAAUUGGAAAACUGCAAACUUCGUUAAGACAAGUAACUGCAAUCUAAGAUGUUUGGCUUAGGAUCAAUGGCCCCACCUUAUACCAAUCAAAUCUCUUUUGACAUUUCUCCCCUUUCAUUUUCGAUGUUAUUGUGUUACUUUAACUUUUCUUUGAGUGAACCCUCUGGGCUGGAUUUGCAACUUAAAAAAGUUUUAGCUAUACAUGUUGUAAAAGAAUUUAGAAAAAUAUAUUAGAACAUGUUGUAAAAAUCAUUUGGGAAAUUAUAUUGAUGGUAUUAAUGCAA